UCUGAAGAAUAUCAAAUAAGCUAUAGCUCAUAUUUGAUAGGAAAAGGUUUGCAUCGUAAAUGAAGAUGUCAAUAUAUGUUUACCUAAAACAACAAUUGUUAGUAUCAUCUCAUUCCAAUGUUUCAACUUGUUACUGUGAGCAGAAGGGGUUCAAAACUGGUGGAGAAAAUGACUUGAUCAUCUUCUGAAGCUGACUGAUGAUCAGGAGCAAGGUUUCCUAAGGCAGUGGAUUCAUUAUCAGGGAGAUACAUGGUUGAGCAUGUUAUGGCCCUCAUGUUGGCAUAUACCAUCAGGAGCAUACAAUAUCAUCACCGAUGCGUAGAAUUGCUCUCAUCUCUGCUGGUGACAACACAAUAUUGUUUGCAGACUCAAUUUGAAGUUCACAGGAUCAGGAAAGAUAAAGAGACAUAUAUUGGAGGUAUUAAAACAAGGUUCACGAAAAAGGGAAGUGCAUAAUAUUGGGGCAUUCGGUGUGGCAUUGACUUCUUAGAGAACAAUCUCAUUUGUGUUGAGAGGCAUAUGUGCACCUCUUCUUGUAUCCUUCAUCCGAAUUUUUCUGUGCAUCUGUUCAAAGUAUUCAGUGUCGCACUUCAGACAAA